UACGUAGGGAGCAAGCGUUGUCCGGAAUCAUUGGGCGUAAAGCGCGCGUAGGCGGCCCCGUAAGUCCGCUGUGAAAGUCAAAGGCUCAACCUUUGAAAGCCGGUGGAUACUGUGGGGCUAGAGUCCGGAAGAGGCGAGUGGAAUUCCUGGUGUAGCGGUGGAAUGCGCAGAUAUCAGGAGGAACACCGAUGGCGAAGGCAGGUCUCUGGGCCAUUACUGACACUGAGAAGCGAAAGCAUGGGGAGCGAACAGG
rnacentral:rRNA from 1 species